AAUCACAUCAUUAGAAGGCAUCUGAGAGACUUCAGAGUGCUAAUAUUUGGGUUAAGAUGUAAAAAAAUGAUCAGGAAUAAUUCAGUCAAGAUUUCUAUAAAGCAACUUCAAGACAACAAGCUGCCUAAAAUUAAAUUACAUUCCCAGGUCAAUAAAUAAAAGCAAGGACUUCUUAAAGUGCAAUGACCUUUGAGGAGGCACAGAAGAUAAAAAAAGAGCAUCCUAAUUUUUAAAGCUGGCUAGAAGUUAUGUCUCAAGUGCAUUUCACAACCUGAAUCUUCAGUGAUCUCAAGAACAGGAUCAUAAGUGGGGAAAACUAUCAUCUAGAGAGCCUACAGCAUGAACCAGCUUGCCUGUGAAUUAGACAGCUCAGAGGUGAUGAGGAUGGAACCCAGAGACUCAUGCGGGCUAGAACACAGUGGUCACCAGAGAGACACGGG
rnacentral:lncRNA from 1 species